AACCAAUAAUUUACAUAACAAAAUUAUCUGCCAGAGAACUACUAGCAACAGCUUAAAACUCAAAGGACUUGGCGGUGCUUUAUAUCCCUCUAGAGGAGCCUGUUCUAUAAUCGAUAAACCCCGAUAAACCUCACCACUCCUAGCUAAACCAGUCUAUAUACCGCCAUCUUCAGCAAACAAAGAUUUGAUU
rnacentral:rRNA from 1 species